rnacentral:rRNA from 1 species
CUACGGGCGGCUGCAGUGGGGAAUAUUGGACAAUGGGCGCAAGCCUGAUCCAGCAAUGCCGCGUGAGUGAAGACGGCCUUAGGGUUGUAAAACUCUUUCGCUAGGGAAGAUAAUGACUGUACCUAGUAAAGAAGUCCCGGCUAACUCCGUGCCAGCAGCCGCGGUAAUACGGAGGGGACUAGCGUUGUUCGGAAUUACUGGGCGUAAAGAGUUCGUAGGCGGACUGACAAGUUAGAGGUGAAAUCCCAGGGCUCAACCCUGGAACUGCCUUUAAAACUGUCAGUCUAGAGACCGGAAGAGGUUAGGGGAAUACCUAGUGUAGAGGUGAAAUUCGUAGAUAUUAGGUGGAACACCAGUGGCGAAGGCGCCUAACUGGUCCGGUACUGACGCUGAGGAACGAAAGCGUGGGGAGCAAACAGGAUUAGAUACCUAGUAGUC